CCAUUUUGCGGAUGAUCCUUUAGAGGGUUCGGAAUCAGAUUAUUCUGAACAGCGAUCAGAAAGCGACUUCAAUAUUUCCGAUGAUGAUAUUGUAGAAAAAUCGAAUAAAAAAGGAAAGCGCCCAAGUAGCUAUCCUAUUUAUCCUCAUUGACAAAGUAAAAAGAGAUAUCGCGCUUGUGAAAUGUCCGAUCGUCUGAUCGCUGGCCCAUUAAAGUUAUAUCAACGAGAAGUAAAGUGCUAAAAUUAUAUAAUGACGACUACUGCGGCGUGGAUCAUCAUUUGGAAAAACCAUAAGAAACCGUUGGUCGAAUGAAGAGCGUGAAGAAAUAUACCAGGCUUUUGGAGACCUGUUGUCUCUUAAAGGAUUGCCGUCGCUUAAGCAAUGCAACGCAGUUAUAAAUAAUUCUACAUAUCUAAAAUGUAGGACACCGGCGCAAGUAAAAACAUGGAUAGAUAAUCAGCGCAAGGCUAAAUCAAGAAAAUCAACUCCGCAAAUAGAUUAAAUAAUGAAUAUGUUGACCAUAUUUAGAACUAAA